UACGAACCGUACAAACGUUAUUCGGAAUCACUGGGCUUAAAGGGUGCGUAGGCGGCCAUGUAAGUGAGGUGUGAAAUCCCUCGGCUCAACCGAGGAACUGCGCUUCAUACUGCAUGGCUUGAGGGAGACAGGGGUAAGCGGAACUGAUGGUGGAGCGGUGAAAAUGCGUUGAUAUCAUCAGGAACACCGGUGGCGAAAGCGGCUUACUGGGUCUCUUCUGACGCUGAGAAGCGAAAAGCAUGGGGAGCGAACAGG
rnacentral:rRNA from 1 species